GACGAACGCUGGCGGCGUGCCUAAUACAUGCAGGUAGAACGCUGAAGAGAGGAGCUUGCUCUUCUUGGAUGAGUUGCGAACGGGUGAGUAACGCGUAGGUAACCUGCCUUGUAGCGGGGGAUAACUAUUGGAAACGAUAGCUAAUACCGCAUAACAAUGGAUGACACAUGUCAUUUAUUUGAAAGGGGCAAUUGUUCCACUACAAGAUGGACCUGCGUUGUAUUAGCUAGUAGGUGAGGUAAUGGCUCACCUAGGCGACGAUACAUAGCCGACCUGAGAGGGUGAUCGGCCACACUGGGACUGAGACACGGCCCAGACUCCUACGGGAGGCAGCAGUAGGGAAUCUUCGGCAAUGGGGGCAACCCUGACCGAGCAACGCCGCGUGAGUGAAGAAGGUUUUCGGAUCGUAAAGCUCUGUUGUAAGUCAAGAACGGGUGUGAGAGUGGAAAGUUCACACUGUGACGGUAGCUUACCAGAAAGGGACGGCUAACUACGUG
rnacentral:rRNA from 1 species